CACACACCCAAGGAGGAGGGCUCUGGCCAUGCAAGGCUGAAGGCCCAGUGUACUGAUAUGAAAACUGAAGCUCAGACAGAAGAGGCGACGUUGCUUUCUUAACCACUGGAUUUGCAGUGCUGUGGUUCUCAGAAGAGGCCAGGACAGGUUAAUCCACUCACUUGGGAGGCAGGCAGCCGGUGCAGAGCUGAGAAUUUACCCCAGGCUACCAGCCUUCCGGCUGAGAGAGCAAGCUGACGCACGGUUCCUCAGCUGUCCCAUGGAGCCUGUUGCGGCCAUCCACCUCCUUCAAAGGGUUGAAUGUACAGCUGGUAUAAAAAUGGUGCUUUGUCGUCAUGAAGAAGGUGUAUUCUGGGAUCAAACCACCUGGCUGGAGAUGCUUACUAACCUCAGUUUCUUCAUCUGGUUCUAGAAGAAGCUGGUAGUCCAAAAUAAGAGGGAGGAACAUGCUUGUGGAAGAAGAAAAGUGUGGCAAUCUUUGCUAUGAGCCACUAUAUGGAACCAAGAAAGGAAGAACAAAAAUUACACUCUGAUUGGUCAGAGUACUGAAGAUAAAACCAAAUAUGUCAACUAUAAGAAAUGGCCCAAUACUAGAUAAGCCAUUCCCAGAAACAAAUUUUAGUUUGACAUAAAGGCUAUCUGCACAUACAAAAAACAGGCCAGAGGUAAAAGAAACAGAGAAGAAGAGAUAAUAAUUCUAACAGAAAUAUUACAGCCUUUACAACUUGCAUGCAUACAGUUAUACAUUAAGAGACUGAAAAAGGCAGUUUCUUUUACUGCUAAUUCUAGUAGUGAUGAAACUCAGGCUCAAGUAUUCAGGUGACUUGUUUGAGGUCACACAGUGCAUAAAUGGUUGCACCUGAGCUGAAAUAUGAGUUGUCCAACUCUUGUAAGUGCAUGCUCCAUCACAUCAUCCUGAGUCAGUAAUGAGGAUGCCAUUGUACCCUUCAAGCAGCCCUGGAGAGUUUAUCUCUGCAUGCUGGAGCUAAUAAUAAUAGUAUGGAGAAAAGGAAGUGAGAAUAAGAGCAGAGAAGCAACUGGGAAAGAUUUCUGCGAUGAAAUUUUGAAAGCAAAUGGAUAUUGACAAUCGGAGUCAAAGGAAUCUCAAGAGCCUUCAAACAUCCAUAUUAUGCUGAUGUCUUUUAAGGUGAUUCAACUCAGCAUAUGUUGUUUGAAGCCGUGAGACUGAGUGAGAUCAUGGAGGAAGUGAAUGUAAAUAGAAAAGGGAAGAAGUCUGAAGACGGAGCCCUGAGACACUCCAUUGUAAACUGGAAGAUGAGGAAGAGCCAGCAAAGGAGACUGAGAAGGGGCAGCCAGUGAAGAUGGAGCCAGGGCUAGAGUAAGAGCCCCUUCUGGGAUGCUGUGACCCCCAAGUUUGAAGACUGCUGAUAACCCCAAUCUACGAAGACUAGCUAUGGAACUUCCUACACUGAGACAACUCCAGUGGAACUCUGAUAAUUAUCCUAAAAUAAGGAGGCUUCUUCAGUAGCCCUCGAAAUAUGUUCAAAUACAUGAUUACAUUUAUGUCCUUAAUAUUGCUAUUAGUUUCUGAUGUUAAUGUAAAAGUUGGGGAAAAAGUGGAAAAGUUAAAGCAGUGCAGGUUAAUUCAAUGCCAGAGUAACUUCUCAGAGGGUGUAUAUUCAGUGUGAACAAUUUUCAACAGAGAAAUGUCAACUUCUGGCCACAACGGCAACCAGUAAAAUGACUAUUUUUACUGUCUUAUCUAUUAAUGAAGAGGAGAUUGCAUAAUAUAGAUGAAGGAGCAUAGUAUUUGCAGGUGGAACGCCUAGCAGGGCUUGAGUCUCAACUCUGCUGCUUUUACUCUAAUUGACCGAGACAAGUCAUUUAAACUAAUAGAGCUUCAAUUUUCUCAUAUCUAAUGUAACAUAACAAUUCACAGCCUUUUACUUUGUAGUUAUCGUGAAGAUCUAAUCGCAGUGAAAUAUAUUUAUAUAUCUGUCUGCUGAUAGAACUUUUGUCAUAGAGGCUAGUCCAUUUUAUGUCAACGGGGCUUAAAUAAGAUCUGUGCCAGCAACUGAAUUACACUAAUGAGUGAGUAAUUACAAAAGAAGCCUGCUUUAUCAAUCUAUAUAAAGAAGAAAGUUACUGAGUAUGGAGGGGAGAUUCUCCUUUCAUAUUGGCACUCAUUCUUACUUUCCCUGAAAUAGAGAUUAUAGUAGUCUACCAGCAAUUUUCAAACUUCAAUUCUGGCCUGGAAAUUGGACAGAAGGGGUCCAAGGACAAUGAACCGAAAGUGCCAGUGAAUGUCUCAGUGCAGACUUGGAGUCAUAGUGGUUAAUUUGCAAAAUUAACUCCCUAUUCAGACUUCAGGCAGUUACAUGUCAACCAACAUCAACUUCGACCCUUAAUCUUCAGCCUCAACCUAGUAAUAAUAUCUCUGAGGUGAAUAAGCUAUGAAGUGGACAUUUCCACCUUCCUUUAUUUUAUUUUAUUUAUUUUUUUGAGAUGGAGUCUUGCUGUGUUCCCCAGGAUGGAGUGCAGUGGCACAAUCUGGGCUCACUGUAACCUCUGCCUCCUGGGUACAAGAGAUUCUCCUGCCUCAGCCUCCCGAGUAGCUGGGACUAGAGGUGUGUGCCACCACGCCUGGCUAAUUUUUUGUAUUUUUAGUAGAGACAGUGUUUCACAGUGUUAGCCAGGCUUGUCUCUAUCUCCUGACCUCUUGAUCUGCCCGCCUCGGCCUCCCAAAGUGCUGGGAUUACAGGCAUGAGCCACCACACCUGGCCCCACCUUGCUUUUUUAUUAAGACUGCUAAUAAUAAGUUACUGUGCUUUCUUAUUAUAUCCCCUUUUGGUCUCUGUUAACAAAAAAUACAGUUGUAUGUAAAUUUUAGUAUAUGACAAUGUUCAUCUCACAAUACGUACAGUGAUAAUAGUGGAAGAGGAAGGAAGGUAAAACUUUUGCUGUGAUUCCAUAAAUGAGCAACGUGGGACACCCUUGUAUGAGUCCAGUGCUUACACAAGCGCCUGAACACAGAGCUGCCAGGCUGGGUGCAUGUGUCAAACUCUGCCAAAGCCCUGAAAGCACCAGUUGUGAAAAGCUGGAAAAAGGUCUUGGCAACCAAAAUUCAUGUUGAUUUUUGUCACCUUUUUGAGCAAAUAUUCUUUGCAGAUCAAUAGUCCAUUGGUUUAAUUUUACAAAUGUUUUCUUUUGAAUUUUCUUUCCUCCCAAUGUAGUUUCAAAAAACUAGUCCAUUUAAAAAAUGAUCCUUUUUAUGGAGUGAAAGAAUACAAUACUCAGAGUGGUUCCAUGCUCAAGUUCCAAGAUGCAAAUUUUUUUAUGCAAGUCUCAUAUUCAAUUAAUAGCCCCGAGAUUAUGAAAGAUCCAUUACCUUCUCAAUUGCAGAUUCAGGUAUUGCCAACACAACACAAAGCAGCAUUAAAAUUCAUGUCAUUCUAUAAUGGUAUUUUCCAAAAUGUACUUUUUCCAAACACUUUCCAAAAUGUACUUUUUCAGGUUGCUUUAAAAAUUUUAAUAUAAAAUUUAACAAUUAAAAAUGUAUUUUAUAGUCAGAAUAGCAGGAACUCUUUGUAAGUACUGAGGGAUUAUCACUAAAUAAAAUGUAUAGCAAGUGUGCUAUAGCAGUAUUCUUCUGUAAGAGAUAUCCAGAGUUAUUGACCUGAGAGAAGGAGGAGAAAUGCAUGUAUGAAUGCAAAGAAUCCUGUUUUUCUUCAGCAGGGUACUGAAAACUAAUUCUUCUUCAUGAGGGAAGGCAAACAACCCUCUCUCUGGUCUCUUUUCUACUAUGAUUCAUUUUUUGGUCUAAGUUUUUUCCCAAACCAAGAGUAGACUCCCUCCUGAGUCUCUAUUGACUUACCUGGCUGCCAACAAAGGAAGGCUACUAGUUUCUUGGAAUUCAUAUAAUUAUAUUUCUGUGGGCACUCAUAAAGAGCCAUCAGCUCUGUCCUUGCACACCCCACUUCUAGACUUGCCUCCAGCCGGGGGUGGUAAUAACUGAAAAGAAAACAUUUCUUGACCUACUCCAGUACCUCAUAAAUCGAAAUGUAUCCCUUCAACUAACACUCAAAUUCCAUCUUAUUAAUAUAACUGCCAAACUAAAUUAAGUCCAAUUUUACUUUUUUGUUUACCUCCUAUACAAUGGAAUCAUAUUUUUUCAUAUUAAAAUUUUAGCAAAUAAUAUGUCACCUACCAUUUGCACCUCCACACGAUGCUAGAGAAUUAAGUUGGGAAAGUCAGACCUCCAAUGCUCUUGAUACAAAUAAGUCCUGACCAAAGAUUUAACCAGAAUGUUCCCUCAGUGCUGCUAAAUAAAUAUUUAUUUAUGUAUGUAUUUAUGUAAUACUUCUCCUUUGAAAAGAGAACUUGAGGUAGUCUCCAGAAAUAUACACAUACCAGUGGAAGAAAAACAGACCAAUCUGUGGAAAUUAAAGCAAGAAGAAAGAUAAGCUGGAAGAAAAUAUAUAUUGAAGCAGUAAUGUUGGUGCCUGCCAUACUGGUCUUAGCGUUCUGAUAGGUUCCUGCAUGUUGGUGGUAAUUUUGAAACAGACUAUCCUAAUAAUCCAGGCAAAUAUAGUUUGAAAGCACAAUUAGUCAUGAGACUACCCAUGUUGCUGGCCAAAAUCACACUGCUGUGAGAGACAGCACAGUUGUUCCUGUUCCUGAGAUGCAUGAGGAAUUUUUCUCAUGGUUCCUUAUGAAGUAGACACUGAGUGAUUGGUAGCUAUUAGUGGGAAGCAGGAUAUCUGGGAAGAAGAGGGAAAAAUGACAGCAUUGCACAAAUUUGAGGGAAUGGAUUCUUUGCCUUUAUCAUAUUUAAUGUAAGCUCCUAGUGAUUAAUGAGUUUGAAAUGCCUGGUCAUCUACAUAUGUGUGCCUGAUUCCAGGAGAGAUGGAGUCUGACAGUUUGUAUAGCAGCUAAGUUCAUGGGAAUGGAGUCUGCUGCCUAAGGCCCUGAGCAGCCUUUAUUGCAAAUUCUGUAGAGUAACCCGCUGUGUAGCAAACAGUCAGGAUCACUUAUUAUUAUUUACAGACUUUCCAAAGCUCUCAUCAAAUAGGAGCCCCACACUGUCAAUUUCUGGAAAUAUCAAUGCUUAAUGCUUCCCCAUUCACAAAGUAUGGGGAAGGUGUUGUCAAUCUGGGGAUAGAGGGGAGACUUGUGCCACGUUUUAGAGGAUGGCACUUUGGAACUUAGGGAUACAGAAGUCUAAUGUGAGGACAGCCAUUUGGCGGUCACCUGUCUUAUUCACAAGAGAGGAAUUAACUUCAUAGCAUCCCUAUUGUUUGAAAAGGGGACUUACUGAGUGCCAUCUAUGUGCAAGCUAAUAGGUAAACAGUAAUAUGUUUUCCAAAAGCAGAUGGAAAUUUUGAGAGUCCCAAAGCUUAUAUAAUUAAGGGCAAAGAGAAGGUUUAAGAAAUUUAUAAAUAUAAAACUAUGUAUAAGACUGCGCAUGUAGGCCAUGCAGAGGAGGUAAAGUGCAAGCUUUGGUAACUUCACAGAAAAUCUAUCUAUGAUGGUGUUCUCCUAUAAUCCUCAGAGUAACCAAUGAUCUGAGUGAAACUCUCUCCAUGUGACACAGGACAAAACUGAGAUCCAAUUUUUGUAGUUGCCAAAUUUUGCAAAUAAAAACAAUGGACUUUAAGUUAAAUUUGAAUUUCUAAUAUACAACAAAAAAAUUUUAAUAUAAAUAUGUUCUCAAUUUUUUUAUAUUAAAAAAUCAUCUAUUGGGAUCUGGAAUUCAAAUUUAAUCUGGUGUCCUGUAUUUUAUCUGGUAGUCUUACCAAUAUUAUAUAGCCUAGUUUUUAACCCAGAUUUGUUGUAUAAAAAUACAAAGUUCAAAUAUAUUUUAUUCCUUCCCUAUUAUAAGUACCACAUGUUUAAUAAUUACUAAGCACAGUCAUUUUCCCCUUAAAUAAAAGUAAUCUUUGCAUUAAAUUGUUUAUUAUUUAAAUAAUGGAAAUUAUAUAUACUCUAGUUCUUAAAAACUUAACUUUAAAUUAUCCAGGUAAUAAUAGUUAUUGCAGAAAAAAUUUAAAUGCAAACAGAAAAGGCAAGCAACCUUUAUAAUCCUCUCUUUCACAGAUGACUUCUUUUGUCAUUUAGUUUUUUAUAUCUUCUGACUUUCUUAUGCAAAUAGCUAUAUAUUGCUUUAAAAAAGAAUCAGUGUUAUACAUUCUUUUAAAUACAAAGUGACUUAAAAAAACACAACUUUAUUUUCUUUGUGCUGGGCCUUGUAUGUGAUGAUAGAGAUUUGGCAAUCAAUUAUCAGGAUUUGGAUGAAAAAAAUCAGCAAGUAGAAUACCAGAUGUGAAAACUUCCCACAGAAAUUCUUCUUCCUUUGAAGUGUGAGAUUAAUGAUCUAUAUCAGACGGUCGGUUGACCGUAUUGCAGUUAGACCUAAUGUGAAACAUUUCAGAUGGCUACCGGAUGAUACAGGUAUGGCUGAUAAAAAGCCCCUCAGAAUUGAGAUAAAUCGGCUUGGUCUCAUCAUUAUCUCAUAGAGCAAUGCAGGCAAAGGAAAAAAAAAUAUGUCUCUUGACUGAUUAUUUGAGUUCUUAUUGCAGAUUUAAAAUAAAAUAAAUCAGUGGGAUUACAUGUCAAAUUUAUCUACCAGAAUUGUCACCUAAUAUAUAUAGAUAUUGGUUUUCUUUCAGAGGAGAGGGAAAAUAGAGAAAAAUGGAUAACUUGUCAUAAAUGUAAAACUUCAGAGAGAACUAACAGAAGCGUGCAAGCUAUGUUUUUACAGGCAAAACUUUUUUCUUCUAUAGAACAAGCCUAUAUUAAGCAACAUCGGCGACUCAACUGUUUGUCCCAGUGCAGAAUUUAGGGCUGCCUUCACAUGAAGCAAAAGGAAGUGUCAAAUAAAUUAUUGGAAAACUGCGUUUCAAUACCUGCAUUACCUUGUCUGGCUAUACAGAGUUAACUUGGGUUUCCUAAGAAUUUUCUGGGAAUUUUUACUGAGUAUGCCUGGUCAAAGUAGAAUAAUCUACAUAAUCACCUGUGAUUGUCCCUAAGGAUAACCUGCCCUUGACUCUAUGUCUGACUUCCAUCUUUGAAACCAACACCUAUUGUUACAAGGAGGAGGGACCAUAUGGUAAUAUCUACAAUUAACAGAUAUUCCACAGUCAAUUCCUUAGUAGAAUAGAGAAAAGAAAAAGUGCUGGUCUGGGACCCUGGAGACUUGAAAUCCGGUCAUGAAUCUAACAAUGUCAACACACAAGUUGGCAAGUUGACGCAACGCCAACUUACACAACUUGUACAAUUUACCCAUUCUUGUCUGGGUGCAGUGGCUCACGCCUGUAAUCCCAGCAUUUUGGGAGGCUAAGGAGGGCAAAUCAUCUGAGGUCAGGAGUUCAAGACCAGUCUGGCCAACAUGGGAAAACCCUGUCUCUACUAAAAAAUGCAAAAAUUAGCUGGGCAUGGUGGUGCACGCUUGUAAUCCUAGCUCCUAGGGAGGCUAAGGCACGAGAAUCCCUUGAACCUGGGAGGUGGAGGUUGCAGCAAGCCAAGAUAGAACCACUGCACUCCAGCCUGGGAAACAGAGGGAGGCUCUGUCUCAAAAACAAAACAAAACAAAACAAAUAACCAAAACUUACCCAUUCUUUAUCUUAGUAUCCUCAACUACAAGAUAAGAUUUUAUUGACUCUUUGAGCCCACUCUUAGGAUUCUCAGCUCUAAAAUUAUUUCAAAGGUUUUUUUUUGUCUUCUUGUAAGUUCUGAAUGCAUAUUUCAGUUUGAAAGUUUACCAGUGCUUCUCUCCUCUGCUGAAAAUGUGCUACUAAGUUUAUAAACACACACCUGUUUGAGAAAUAGAUAAACAUUAUAACAAACUUCUACAGCUAUUUUGAAGAUUGAAAACUAUUUGCCCCAUAAGUAUAAAAAUCAAUAAAUAUAUUUGUAUAUAUUUGUAUAUAUUUUAAUUAAACAUACCUUGUCAAUUAAUAUAUGUAUCUGUGUAUAUAGAUAGAUGUGUGUGUAUAUUUAUAUACAUGAUAUAGAUAGAUAAAUAUAUAGCUAUAGAUAAAGAUAUAGCUAUAGUAACACAUGGAUUGAAAAUGAUCUGAACUAAUAUAAAUAAAAUUCUCACUAGUCCAGUGCUUCUCCAUCUAUCUGAAGUGAAGAGCCACAUUUUUUUAAAGUUAUUAUUAUUAUUUCUAAUUCCCUGGUGACAAAAAUACAAUUAAAACAGCAAGUUGCUAUUAAAGUUUCUAACUUUAUUGACUCACUUUGUAUGUGAAUUCUCUCUUUACUUAUCUCCUAGUAAGCCAGUAAUGGAAACAUAUCAUCAUAGGUCUAUGCACCAAAUUUUAUGUAGAAUGUCACUAGGGCAUAAGAUUACAUGAAAUUUUCAUUUUCUUAAUGUUUUAUAUAGUUUGAUUUCAAUGUAGAUAUUAUACCUAGAAUAGAAGAUUUAAAAAAUUAACAUGAAUUUUGGUAUAAUUCGCUUACUAAAAAUACAUAUAUGAGUAGGAUGAUAUAAUUUCAAUUAUUAAUCUAAGUUAUCUCAGGGUAAAAUUAAACAAGAUAUUUCUUUCCUUUUUGGAAGGGGAAUAUUUGUAUUUGUUGAUAUUUCAUAAUCAUUGGAUAUGUAUUACACAUAUAAUGAGAAAAAAACAAUUUCCAUUACUACAUGAACAAAGGGCAAUGUAAGGCUAUUACUAAGUUGGGUUAACACAACUGGUUCACUUUCAUUUACAUGAACCAUUCUUUUGAUGGAAUAUCUGAAGAGAGAAAUGUGUGUGUUUGUAGUCCAUUCCAGUUCUGGUUCUGUGCAAAUUCUAAUAAAAAUGAAAUGUAAUUGAUCCUCAAAAAUAUGAUUCAUCUAUUUUAAGUCAUCAGUCAACAC
rnacentral:lncRNA from 1 species